rnacentral:rRNA from 1 species
UACGGAGGGUGCAAGCGUUAUCGGAAUACUGGGCGUAAAGGGUGCGUAGGCGGUUAGUUAAGUCUGUCGUGAAAUCCCCGGGCUCAACCUGGGAAUGGCGAUGGAUACUGGCUAGCUAGAGUGUGUCAGAGGAUGGUGGAAUUCCCGGUGUAGCGGUGAAAUGCGUAGAGAUCGGGAGGAACAUCAGUGGCGAAGGCGGCCAUCUGGGACAACACUGACGCUGAAGCACGAAAGCGUGGGGAGCAAACAGG